rnacentral:lncRNA from 1 species
AAGUGUGGUUGAAAACUUGUAACAGUUUGGUCAACAUUUAAAAAUAUGUCAUUCUGAUUUUUUGGUUUCCCUUUUGUUCAUUUCAGCCAAUGGUACUUUUCCCUUGGUUCUGCAUUGUUAUGUGUUUUGAAGGCUUUACAAGAAGGAACUUCCAUCCAGGGGUAGGACCUGGUCUAAUGAGUCCCUAAUGAUGAUCUGCGGAAUCAGAAGGCAAAGCCAAGGAAAGCCCAUGACACCGUGGACUCUUCAGGAGAGGAUGAACAGACUGCUAGUUGACUUAGCAGGUUUUGCAUUGAGAUGGAGAAGAAUGAAACCAAGAGUAGAAAUCAGGCUUAUGGUGCAGCAACUAAGAGGAUGUGCUGAACUGAAUGGAGAUUGAAGAAUUUGGCAGACAGUGCACCAGAGCAUUCUAGAAUCCGGUUUAAUUUAUUUACCACAUACUAUGAACUUUGUACUUUAUGACUUUCCAAAUAACAUAAACUAGACUCUGAUGGUCAAAGUUCCCUGAGGACGACUUCUAUCUCUCUGUGAUGCUCUGAAGUUUCUGAUAGGGAGAGCACUGCUCCCUCCUUG